AGUGAACGCUGGCGGUAGGCCUAACACAUGCAAGUCGAACGGCAGCACAGUAAGAGCUUGCUCUUACGGGUGGCGAGUGGCGGACGGGUGAGGAAUACAUCGGAAUCUACUUUUUCGUGGGGGAUAACGUAGGGAAACUUACGCUAAUACCGCAUACGACCUACGGGUGAAAGCAUGGGAUCUUCGGACCUUGCGCGAUUGAAUGAGCCGAUGUCGGAUUAGCUAGUUGGCGGGGUAAAGGCCCACCAAGGCGACGAUCCGUAGCUGGUCUGAGAGGAUGAUCAGCCACACUGGAACUGAGACACGGUCCAGACUCCUAAGGGAGGCAGCAGUGGGGAAUAUUGGACAAAGGGCGCAAGCCUGAUCCAGCCAUACCGCGUGGGUGAAGAAGGCCUUCGGGUUGUAAAGCCCUUUUGUUGGGAAAGAAAAGCAGCAGGUUAAUACCCCGCUGUUCUGACGGUACCCAAAGAAUAAGCACCGGCUAACUUCGUG
rnacentral:rRNA from 1 species